rfam:Parvimonas micra strain KCOM 1535, complete genome.
GGCAGAGUAGGAAACUUGCAUUAAGUGUUACAAGAUGGGAUGUUGCUUGUAAACGAAGAGAUUUCUCGUGGUUAGUUUUCGCAUCCACUGUU